GAUUAAGUUAUUAAGGGCGCACGGUGGAUGCCUUGGCACUAGAAGCCGAUGAAGGACGUUACUAACGACGAUAUGCUUUGGGGAGUUGUAAGUAAGCUUUGAUCCAGAGAUUUCCGAAUGGGGAAACCCAGCAUGAGUUAUGUCAUGUUAUCGAUAUGUGAAUACAUAGCAUAUCAGAAGGCACACCCGGAGAACUGAAACAUCUUAGUACCCGGAGGAAGAGAAAGAAAAUUCGAUUCCCUUAGUAGCGGCGAGCGAAACGGGAAGAGCCCAAACCAAAAAGCUUGCUUGUUGGGGUUGUAGGACACUCUAUACGGAGUUACAAAGGACGACAUUAGACGAAUCAUCUGGAAAGAUGAAUCAAAGAAGGUAAUAAUCCUGUAGUCGAAAAUGUUGUCUCUCUUGAGUGGAUCCUGAGUACGACGGAGCACGUGAAAUUCCGUCGGAAUCUGGGAGGACCAUCUCCUAAGGCUAAAUACUCUCUAGUGACCGAUAGUGAACCAGUACCGUGAGGGAAAGGUGAAAAGCACCCCGGAAGGGGAGUGAAAUAGAACCUGAAACCGUGUGCUUACAAGUAGUCAGAGCCCGUUAAUGGGUGAUGGCGUGCCUUUUGUAGAAUGAACCGGCGAGUUACGAUUUGAUGCAAGGUUAAGCAGUAAAUGUGGAGCCGUAGCGAAAGCGAGUCUGAAUAGGGCGUUUAGUAUUUGGUCGUAGACCCGAAACCAGGUGAUCUACCCUUGGUCAGGUUGAAGUUCAGGUAACACUGAAUGGAGGACCGAACCGACUUACGUUGAAAAGUGAGCGGAUGAACUGAGGGUAGCGGAGAAAUUCCAAUCGAACCUGGAGAUAGCUGGUUCUCUCCGAAAUAGCUUUAGGGCUAGCCUCAAGUGAUGAUUAUUGGAGGUAGAGCACUGUUUGGACGAGGGGCCCCUCUCGGGUUACCGAAUUCAGACAAACUCCGAAUGCCAAUUAAUUUAACUUGGGAGUCAGAACAUGGGUGAUAAGGUCCGUGUUCGAAAGGGAAACAGCCCAGACCACCAGCUAAGGUCCCAAAAUAUAUGUUAAGUGGAAAAGGAUGUGGCGUUGCCCAGACAACUAGGAUGUUGGCUUAGAAGCAGCCAUCAUUUAAAGAGUGCGUAAUAGCUCACUAGUCGAGUGACACUGCGCCGAAAAUGUACCGGGGCUAAACAUAUUACCGAAGCUGUGGAUUGUCCUUUGGACAAUGGUAGGAGAGCGUUCUAAGGGCGUUGAAGCAUGAUCGUAAGGACAUGUGGAGCGCUUAGAAGUGAGAAUGCCGGUGUGAGUAGCGAAAGACGGGUGAGAAUCCCGUCCACCGAUUGACUAAGGUUUCCAGAGGAAGGCUCGUCCGCUCUGGGUUAGUCGGGUCCUAAGCUGAGGCCGACAGGCGUAGGCGAUGGAUAACAGGUUGAUAUUCCUGUACCACCUAUAAUCGUUUUAAUCGAUGGGGGGACGCAGUAGGAUAGGCGAAGCGUGCGAUUGGAUUGCACGUCUAAGCAGUAAGGCUGAGUAUUAGGCAAAUCCGGUACUCGUUAAGGCUGAGCUGUGAUGGGGAGAAGACAUUGAGUCUUCGAGUCGUUGAUUUCACACUGCCGAGAAAAGCCUCUAGAUAGAAAAUAGGUGCCCGUACCGCAAACCGACACAGGUAGUCAAGAUGAGAAUUCUAAGGUGAGCGAGCGAACUCUCGUUAAGGAACUCGGCAAAAUGACCCCGUAACUUCGGGAGAAGGGGUGCUCUUUAGGGUUAACGCCCAGAAGAGCCGCAGUGAAUAGGCCCAAGCGACUGUUUAUCAAAAACACAGGUCUCUGCUAAACCGUAAGGUGAUGUAUAGGGGCUGACGCCUGCCCGGUGCUGGAAGGUUAAGAGGAGUGGUUAGCUUCUGCGAAGCUACGAAUCGAAGCCCCAGUAAACGGCGGCCGUAACUAUAACGGUCCUAAGGUAGCGAAAUUCCUUGUCGGGUAAGUUCCGACCCGCACGAAAGGCGUAACGAUUUGGGCACUGUCUCAACGAGAGACUCGGUGAAAUCAUAGUACCUGUGAAGAUGCAGGUUACCCGCGACAGGACGGAAAGACCCCGUGGAGCUUUACUGUAGCCUGAUAUUGAAAUUCGGCACAGCUUGUACAGGAUAGGUAGGAGCCUUUGAAACGUGAGCGCUAGCUUACGUGGAGGCGCUGGUGGGAUACUACCCUAGCUGUGUUGGCUUUCUAACCCGCACCACUUA
rnacentral:rRNA from 1 species